rnacentral:rRNA from 1 species
CCUACGGGUGGCAGCAGUCGAGAAUCAUUCACAAUGGGGGAAACCCUGAUGGUGCGACGCCGCGUGGGGGAAUGAAGGUCUUCGGAUUGUAAACCCCUGUCAUGUGGGAGCAAAUUAAAAAGAUAGUACCACAAGAGGAAGAGACGGCUAACUCUGUGCCAGCAGCCGCGGUAAUACAGAGGUCUCAAGCGUUGUUCGGAAUCACUGGGCGUAAAGCGUGCGUAGGCUGUUUCGUAAGUCGUGUGUGAAAGGCGCGGGCUCAACCCGCGGACGGCACAUGAUACUGCGAGACUAGAGUAGUGGAGGGGGAACCGGAAUGCUCGGUGUAGCAGUGAAAUGCGUAGAUAUCGAGAGGAACACUCGUGGCGAAGGCGGGUUCCUGGACAUUAACUGACGCUGAGGCACGAAGGCCAGGGGAGCGAAAGGGAUUAGAUACCCGAGUAGUC